CUGAGGGAAGAAUCUUCCAGGAUAUUUAAGGAAAAAAAGUCCCCUCUUGAAAAAAGUUCCCUCAGGAUUUACUUACCUUUGAAACAAAAAGUAUGCAAAAAGUUCUGCAGUUUGUCACAAUACAAAUGAAGGCCAACAUUUCAUAUGGCAAUUGUCUAGCUGCAUACAGAUGAUUUUCUACAAGGUAAUCAUCUGAUAAAGGAAGACCUGUUGUUGUUGUCACAAACAGAUUUCUGCUGUCAAAUUAGAUUUACCGAGUGUGCAUUUUUAUUUACAUUUUAAAGUUUCAUUUUAAUUUGGGGAAUCUGUGGUGAUUACAGGAUAAAUAUGUCUCAGACCUCAGGGGAACUGUUGCCUGCACAGUCCCAAAUUUCUCGACAGAUGAAACGAGCCUGACAACUCCAUUCAUUUUCAUGGCGUUAUGUUUGAUUCAAAUACAGUGGAAGUAUUUACCAUGUCUGCCACUGUCCCUUUCGGGAUUCUACUGCGACCAAAAACUGAGAAUUUGAGGACCAGUGGAAAAAUAUACCAAACACGUGAGAAAGAACUGUAUGUAUGUCCCUCUCUAACCCCGCACAUACGAAUCCUCAGAAACAAACCCAAAUUCUUCUGCAGUGGUGAAAGAGGUGGAGGAGAAAGAGAAAUUAAAGAAAAUAAGACAUACGAUGGACCAGCAAACAAUUUGUAAAUGGAAGCAGCAGGCUUUUGCUUUUCCCCACAGACAAGCAGUCCAGAACAGACCCUGAAAGGUAACAGUCUCACAAUAGUAAUGCCUACAAGAGAAACUACCAUAAACAUAGGGUCUAAUUAAAAGCAUUACAAUUUUUAAAUGCAAAUGUAGAAUAGAACUGUCAAAAUGUUUUAUCCCUAAAGUGCGAAUGCUAACCUUC
rnacentral:lncRNA from 1 species